GGGCCAAACCCAUAGUGAAUGCCAUUCCAGACCACCCUUCUCCAAUGUCUCGCUUAAUUGGAACUGCUCAGAGCACACUCGUCUCUUCUCCUUCUUCGUUCCUAUUUCGUGGACUCCAAUGCCACAAUCACCAUUGUUCCCUUACCCAACGGCGAAUUGCUAGUUCCGUUUAAUGACUCUGAAGACAUUAAACUUUAAGCGACAAUGUUUGAUGGGUAUGAAUCCGUUCCGAAUUCCGGAGAAGAUAGCUCAGGGAAAGAUGUGUGCUUUCACAUUAGCGUGCUUGUUGAGAUCUCUAAGAGGGUGGCGGCGAUGCAUUGGAGUUUAUGUGCUUGGCAUGGCCUGAUUGUUUAGAUAUUCAGAAAGCUUACUUACUUUUAGUCGUGGCAGUAUGCUGUCUAGGCCUUACACGGGACCUGAUUUUAGGAAUUUGAAUCCCGAGCUUCAGCAGAGAUUUCGGGAGUUCUUGGAGGCAAGGGGGGUAAAUGACAAACUUUCUGUUUUCUUGCAUGAAUAUAUGAUGAACAAGGAUUGAAUCGAACUUAUCCAAUGGUUUGGAAAGGUCAAGUUUUUCGUAGAAAAAUAGAGGGAUUUUUUUUACAGUGCAUUCUAUGAAACUGGUUGUUAAAGGAUUUGAUUCGAUGAAACUAGGGAUUACGCAAUGUCUAGCUAAUUUAAAGUGAAAUAUAAUAUGCCAAUUGUUGAAUCUUUGAGCGUGUUUGCUACUUAUUGUUGGGUCUACUUCUAAAAAGCAGUGGAAAGUUGUAACGUUCUAAUGUUAGACAGUCUCCAUGUUUUCAAGGGUGUUACAAGAUACUGGUUGGCAGUGAUCCAUUUUGGAGUUUGGAUCAUGUAUAUUGGGCUCUACGUAAACGUAAUAGAUUCGAUAAGCUUCAAGAAAAUUAUACAGAAAAGAGUAAGGGCAAAUAAUGAACUCUUCCUAAGUACGGCAUCAUCAUUUAGCCCAAUGCUAUCCUUUUGACAUAUUGAUAUUUGCCAUUUAAUAAAGUUUGCAUUGUUAUGUUAUUAAUUUAAAAGUGUUGCCUUUUCUUGUUAUAUUUGGUGUGUUUGAAAUUAUUAUUGGAAAAUAAUUAACUUAUGGAAAUGUAAUUAUUUUGAAGAAAGAAUCUUUGCUGGUUUGAAAUUUUGAGAUUUUUACUAAAAUUUAUCUACAAAUUAUGAUGUGAUUAUAAAUUAUGCAAAGCUUUGGCCUUGCCUUUGAACCACUUAACGUGCCUCCUUACCAUUAGGAUUAGGGGAACAUGAAGUCUGAACUCUACUGAUUGGGAAUCUGGGAAAUAAUUGCACAACACUACGGCAGCAUGGAUAGUACAAUUUUACUCCACUUGCUAUCUUCGUAGUUGAGCAUAAUUAGAUUGCUAUAUGCCUAGCCUCUUCCCUUGCAUUAAAUUGCUAUUGAUUAGAAUAAAUUAUCCGAGAGGAGUUCAAACAUCUCUCUUGGUGGAGGACUGAAAGCUAUUGCUCUUUGAUUUUCUCAUGUUGAAAUUCCUUACAUGUUCAAUAGGACUAAUCAGUAAUUACAACUUUUGUUUGAUACCUAUAACUAAUAUUGGUAACACAUGUAUCUAUGUGAAUGACUUGUUGAAAACAACAUUCUGUUUUAGGUUGGAAACUUUGUGACGAAGAACCACGAAUGGACAAUUGAAAACACAUAGAGAAAAGGAUGCAAUGCUUGAAAUUUAGAUUUCAAGUUUUAAUAUCCAAAAUACACUGCCAAAAAUACCUUAGAUAAUUAAAAUAACAAGAAUAAACUAUUUUCUAAAGUAUAAACUCCUGUCUAAAAUAUGUAGUAAUAAGAAUCCAAAGAGUAGAAUCCAAGGUUUGAAAUUUCUCUUUAGAAAUCCAUAUAGCAUCGGAUCAGGAUGACCUCGCCAUUUGACAUGAAAUCUUUGAAAACAUUGCAAAGAAGAAGCAACAAAUUCAUUGUCUAACACAACCAGUGUUAUCAAGGCGAAAGGC
rnacentral:misc_RNA from 1 species